rnacentral:lncRNA from 1 species
AUGAAUCCCUCAAGCUCCCCUGAGGCCUCUUUGCUGACUCUUCCUCUCUAUCUCCUCGUUUGCUGGCCGCUUCUGCUAACAAACAAACACGGUCUCCUUGCCAAGUUUGCAGGAGAAAUGCUCCCCCGUCCUGAUUUCAUCGCUGCAGUGCUCCGGCAGGUGGCUUUCUUCCUCCUCAUCAAUGAUUUCCACAGCCUGGCUCGUUCAGCAUCGCCACACCCCAGACUAAAGCUACCUCAGAUAAAUAAAAGGAAGACCAGCAGCACGUUGCUCACAAUGGAUGACCAACCUUGCGACGCACGGAGGGUCCUCUUACCAUGCCGGGCCUGACUGAGUUUGGCCAACGAGGCAGGAAUUUCUCAGUAUUUCAAGCUUGUUAAGUCUCUCAGAGUGAGUAAAUAAAGGAGAAGGUUUGGAGUAAGUAGUUAGCCUC